UUUAUCUAUUUAUGUCACAGUGAUGUUGAUGCUCCCGAGGCCGAUCAUUUAAAGGAAUUCAACGGGUUUAUACAAGCUGUACUAGGAAAGGAACUGCUCGGGAUUCACGAGUCGAAGAUAAAAACUGUUGGACAUUAAACGAAGUUGGUGGAAUACGCAGCCCCAACAGGUUCCCUUCAGGAUCCAAUACGUCUUCUGAAGUGGAUAAAGAGAAAAAUCAUGGACCAAUUAUUAGCAAGGAAGACAAGGCAGGUGCAUGCGAAGAUGACAAUGCGUUCAGAGUUGUGGCAGAGGAGAAGCGCGAGGCUUCUACGGAGGUACCAACAGUAAAUGAAACCGAUGCAG